rnacentral:snoRNA from 1 species
GGUGUCCCCAAUGGCGCAUUCGAGACGCUCAGUGUCUCGAAUGCGCCAUUGGGGACACCAGACCGGCUCGCGAUUUGCUCGACAGCGACCGAGAGCCGCACUAC